GGCAGCGAACAAAACAACUGUCUUACAGUAUUGGAAGCAAUGUUUCAUUUUUCAUCAAUCCUUACUGGAAAUGAGUGGCAAGGUACUUGAGAGUUAACUAUAAUGUGCAUCUUAACACUUGAGAUGAACUGACAGCGCAGGAGACUGUCCCACAUUUGUCCAGCGGGGACGUACCCAGCUUCUGCUCCACCAUGAGACAGUGCAUUAGACGGGAGGACGACAGGAAGGAGGAAAGUGGAUCUUUGGGGCCUGCAUUUCAGUCCUGCCCGGCUGCCACACUUCCCGAGACAACGGAGAGGUUCCCUGAGCUUCCGAGAUGUUAGAAGAUUAAUUUGUCCUGCUGACAUGCAGGAAAUUAAAUGCUAAACUGCUGUUCCAAAAUAAUGACACCGAUGAUCAGGAGGAGAAUUGGCAAAAUCCGCCUAGUGCCUCACCCGCCCCGUUCGGCAACACCAAGUUCAACACGGCUAUUUUAACUGCGGUGGCAGGAAUCACUGGCAACAGAACUGCCCAGACACGGCAGCAAAAUAGGCCCCAGGGCAGGAGACAACUCUUUUCCACCAGCAACCCUUUCUCGUCCUGACUAUCCUCCCUUCCGAACGUCCCCAUAUUGACUAAGGACACUGAGGAUGAGCCGAUGGCAUGCUUGACUGUUGAGGACAGGGAAAUCCCCUUUAAGACUGAUGCUGGGGCCACAGCUUCAACACUUGUAAUCUGCUGUGCGCACCAGCAAGGAUUUAGGCUCUCAUCUGCCACCAUGAACCUUAGCGGUCUAACCGAGCAGGAGAGACAAUACCCCCUGACAGAACCACUAUCCAAUCUGGCCCUCGGAUCUGUACUGUCCAAUGCACCCAAACCCCUGGUUUAGGGAUUAAUCUAGCAGGAAGAGAUUUGUUGUGUUCCCUCCGAGUCAAAAUUCUUUGCCUUAACAAGGGCAUCACCACCAAAAACAAUACGAGACAAUUUUGGAUUUAUUGCUCCCCUAGUGGUGGGCUGUUGACUUGAGGCCGGAGGAUUUUACUCCUCCCCUGCAGGUCCCUGAUCCCGAUGUAACCCUCUGUUAUGAUUCCACUGGAGCCUCCGCUGAGCUGUUAGCAACCUUUGCUCCUUUCCUAAGGUCGACUGUCACUGUUACCACUGUAGGACGCAUUGAGGGUAAGGAGGGACUCGCCCUCCUGGUGGACGUUCCCGUCCACCUCUGGCAUCAACCAGGCUUGGUAUCUCCCCAUAUCACCUUGUCUGUGAGCAAGGGAUACAAAGCAAAGGCCCUGGGAUUGUUAGCACACCGCCCAAAGCAGCAGUCAGACCCCAGUGUCACUGGCAUACCCCAAUAACUGACCGAUGGGAGUUUAAACUAUCUUUCAGACCCUUUCACCAUAACGGGCCCACUCUGCCACCAUCAACCCCAACAUGACCCCUCAGAAGAACCCUUUCCCGAUCUCUGGUCAGCCUCUACGCAUGAAGUAGGAUGCAUCCCCGUAGAGCCUAUAAAGAUCCAGAUUAUACCAGGGACGAAACUGCCUUCAAUACCCCAGUACCCCCUAAGUCCAGAAGCAAUAGAGGGGAUAUCAACCUUGAUAAAAUCAUUCUUCCAACAAAGCAUCCUAGUUCCUUGCCAGUCACCCUGCAACACCCCAUUCUACCUGUCCCCAAACCAGGACGCCCGGAAUGGAGAUUAGCGCAGGAUCUCAGGCAGAUCAACAAAAUAGUCCAGCCUGUACACCCGGUUGUGCCGAACCCUGCGACGAUUCUUAGCAGCAUCUCCGCCGACACCUGUGUUUUCACCCUGGCUGACUUACAGCAUGCUUUCUUUGCUAUCCCUCUGGCAGGAGAAUCACAGUAUUUGUUUGCCUUUACCUCCAAGAGCCAGCAGUACACUUCGACAUGCCUCCCUUGGGGAUUUGUCCAUUCCCCCACUUUAUUCUCCCAGGUACUGCACCGGCAGCUCAGGGAGCUUUGGCUCUGCCAUCGUCCAAUAUGUUGAUGACUUGCUCCUAGCCAGCCCUUCUGAACCUGCUAACAUUGCAGAGACCAACCGUCUCCUGAACGCUCUCCAUUCUUGCGGGUAUGUCAUACCAGCCGCCAAGGUUAAGCACACCCAGCACCAAGUCAAAUUCCUGGGAACUUUACUCACUGCUUCUGAUAGACAAUUGACCCUGGAACGUAUCGCAGCCAUUCUGCUGACCCCUUUGCCCACAAGCCCCAAGCAAAUGCGUGUCUUCUUAGGCUUAGUUAACUACUGCCGACAGUGGCUCCCUAACGUAACACUACUCAGCAAGCAGUUAACCCCUUUGGCCUCAAGCAAGGCCCCAAAGACCUUCACCCUAUCAGAUGAGCAACGGACAGAUUUCACUGAAUUAAAACCGGCCCUUGCCAGUGCCCCGGCAUUCGGAAGACCUUUGUAUGACAGGCCUUUCCAGUUGUAUGCUGUAUCCUGGAGGACUGCGCAACUGCUGUUUUGACCCAAGCCCAUGGGGAUCGCAAGAGACCAGUAGCCUACUAGUUGACCCGCCUUGACCCUGUAGCCAUGGGCCUCCCACCCUGCUCACAAAUUCUCCCCGCUAUCUACUCCCUCGUAAUUGCCACUUCCAAUAUUACUCUCCAACAACCCCUGACUGUCUAUUCCUCACAUGCUAUUGUAGCCCUCUUGACUUCCCACCAAACCCAACAUCUUACACAGGCACACCUGAGUCACCAUACAACAAUUACAGCACGGAAACAGGCCAUCUCGGCCCUUCUAGUAUGUGCCAAACGCUUACUCUCACCUAGUCCCACUGGCCCACACUCAGCCCAUAACCCUCCAUUCCUUUCCUUUAUGAGAUAGCUCUCCAGAAUAACCCCCUUCUGGCCUUCUCCUACUGGUCAAAUGUGAAUCCGGCAACCUUCCUGAGCAGCCCACCAGAAGAGCUCCCGGUACCCCCCAUGAUCGCCUUUUACCCAAUUACUUAACCACCCUUCGACCAGACCUUUCAGACGCCCCAUUACCCACACAGGAUCUUACCCUCUUUGUGGAUGGUAGCUCUUCGAAAUCACCUUUACCAGUUCACCUUUCAGGUUACGCAAUUGUGAACCACCCUAGCCUCCUUCGAUCUUCCAAAAGGUCACCUCUCGUUGGAGUCCUGCCAAAGGGUUUUGGCCUGAUACAUUGACUAUACUUUUUUCCAAAGGUGCUGCCUCUCCUGCUGAAUUCUCCAGCAUUUUGUGUGUGCUGUACCACUUUUCAGACCCUUCCUAGCAAUAUUAAAAAGCUUUUGACUUCCAAGAUUGGUCCUUAGACAAGCUUUCAAUAUGGUAACAUAAAGACAGUCAGUGAUCAGAGGUGUUUGAGAAGUACAUACUGACACUAUGGAAUAAAUCUGGAAACCUUUUCUUCACAGAGCAGUACAACUACAAUAAAGAACCACCAAUAAACAAUAAUAACAAACUGCUGGAAAUAUUUAGAUCUGAUAGGUCCGGAUUUAGCUGUGUGGGGGCAUGGGUGAAAUCAGACACAAUAAAAGGGGAAACAUUUUCAAGCAAACAUUGAGACUUGAACCAUGAUCUUAUCAUAACCAACAGCCUGCUUUGUAACAGGGUACUCCUGCUGCAGCCAAUGGAACCUGCUAGAUUAUGUUGUUGACUUACUGAAACUACAAUUGAUUGAAAUGUUGCAUUGAUGUCUACAUUGCCUCCAGCAAUACAGAUAUGAUAACAUAAAAUGUGGAAACAAGAGACUCUUUAUGUUUGUCCUGCCAUUCAAUAAGAUUGUGGUUAAUCUUUUACACAAGUGUUACUAACCUGCACCA